GCAGCAAGCACCUUUUGGGACUGUACGGCAGAGAUGAGCGACCCAGGGUAGCCAGCAGAGGGCGCUCCUGCUAUAGAUUUGAGGCUCCAGUGGACGGGCUAUUGAGCCUCGGGUUUAACCAGGAUCGGAUCAUUCUUGGAAAGCGCCGGGGUCUGUAGUCCUAAAGGAAGCAUUCUGGCUUCCCUCUUAGGGGUGGCGACCUUGGAAUCAAUCCAGAAAGGCAACUUGGUCUCCCAGACUGCCCAGGAAGUCUUCCUUCAGGCCAGCCAGCUUUUCUAGAAGGUUCUCCAGGGAGUCAGUCCCAGGGCUCUGCCUCUGGAGUCUCUGCGCUUCCCUCACUUGCCUCUAGAUGGAAGAUUUCCUCACCUGGUGCCCAACAGGCUCCCCCUGCGGCCACAUCCAGCAAACCUGUGGAUGCUAGAAUUCUCAGAACCAAAUGCAGCCCUUAUCUUCUGCCGCAAAGCGUGACAGGCUUGUGUGUGGCUGUUAUCAAGCAUCAUUUGCUAUGUCCGUUUUUGGGGACAGAGAGGAGGACACAGGGUCCCUGCCUGAGUCUAGAGGAGGAGACAGGAAAUAGAUGUGACCAUGCAGGGUGGCCAUCCUUUCAGCCUGGGGGCCGGCCUUUGGCCCCCUUCCAGCUUUCACAUCGCCACCAAAGUGAGCCCUUCUUCAAACUCCCUGAUGCCCAGACUCAUACGAGAAAAAUUUUAGCGAAUGUGACCUAGGGGAAAUCAUUUGUUUGGGGAAA
ensembl:lncRNA